UUCCGAGAACUGGUUCAGGUCCGGAAG
rnacentral:SRP_RNA from 10 species